CGGCUUCUGUUCAGGCGCCGCCUCGGCUGUGAGCCGCGCCUCUGGUCUGCCUCUUCGCUGAUGCUCCCCUGGGAAGUGGCUGCUGUUCGGGCGCCACCUUGGCUGUGAGCCACGCCUCUAGUCUGCCUCUUCGCUGACGCUCCCCUGGGCAGUGGCUGUUGUUUGGGCACCGCCUCCGCUGUUGGCCGCGCCUCUGGUCCGCCUUUGUCGCUGACAGAACCUUCAGCGGCUGGAGCGCUUCUCUUCUGGAUGCUGUAUCAGAGAUGUUCAUUAAAUUACCAGUCCACCAUGGAACAUUUACUUUUCUCACCAUAACGGAGGUACUAGAUCACAUUUCUUCCUGAAUCCUACAACUCCUGUUCUCAGCUCUGACAGCUGAGGUGAUCGUGGCUCAUCACUUUGGGGACUAGCCAAAAUUGCCUGUGGUGGCUGGGCCAGCACUGCGGAGAUGCGCCGCCUGGGUGGUGAAGAUGGAGCCGCAGAAUCAGACUCCACACGACGCGUCUUACUGGGCCUCCUAGAAUAUGUGACUACAGUGAAUUCUUACCUGCAUUCCCACCAUCUCCAUCAUUUGGCUGUGGCCUGUCUGUGGCGCUUCACUGGCGUACUGUUGAAAAAUUUGAAUCAACAUUAUUACCAUACGUUGAAUAUUCAUUGUUAUAUGAAACUCCUUAUUGUGAUGUAAACAUCUUGAA